AUGGGUGCCAAGUAUGUACGUUCCGGAAAUGAGCGCCGCUCCCUGCAGUCCUCCUGCCCGUCGCUGGCAUGUACGGGCACAUUUUACAGUUGCUUAAUGGCACUUUUUAUAGACGGCUCCGCGGCCGAUGAUCUUCCAUGUGCGUUUUUUUAUUUUUUAUUAUUAUUAGAUUACACGUAUGACGUUGCAGUGUUUCAUGCGCAGUAAUUACAUGUGAAUGCUGACGGACGAGUUCCGAAGUCUUUCCGUCCCGUCACCCGGUAAUAACGUGGAGGGCAUGCCUUCAAUCAGUGUCACGCUCUCACCUGCCGACGCCUUCCUCGCCACAGUCCCUGGAGUCCUUUCUCACUUCCCCCUUCCUCCUUAAAGGUGAUUCCUCCCGCCUGGUGCCCUCCUCCCUCCCUGACAGCUGUGCCCUCCCCGUCUUAGCUCUCGCACACUCUCGCUCUGAUGCCCUCUAACACCCCCUGGCACUCGCUACUCAGCUGUCUCGGAUCUAGCCCGGGAUAAGUUGUAUCACAUUGAGACAUGGGGAGCUCGGCAUCUUCCCUGGCAGCGGAGGGCGAGUCGCACCCAGGCACCAUGGGCACGGCGUACCCUGGAAUCAGCCAGCUGGGCUGGCAUAGAAGCGGACUCCUGGGGUCUGUACAGCAGGGCACAGUCGUUCCAACGUACAGGACACACAGGCUUCCAGACCCCAUGGCGGCCCCAUCCCCCUGUAAGGAGUGGCCGUGCUGCCGUUGCACAUACCUAAAUUCCAUUGAGCUGCGGCAUUGCUCGAUGUGUGAAGCUCCUCGCAAUCUACCCGAUCUCAACCACAUCCUAAGACUGAGCUCGACCGAACAGCAUUGGUCCUGCAGCCGAUGCACCUUUUCCAAUCUUACUCCAACCAACCCUUCACCUCCGCCAACGGGAUGCCAGCUUUGUGGGUAUCUUCCUCCUCCAGCCGUUCCCAAUGGUAUCUUUCGUGGACCGCACGAAGAGGCGAGAUCCCCCGUCCAAGAAUCCGAUCCGGAGGAUAUAACUAGUCCUACUCUCCAGUCUACAGUAAAUUCAGGUUGGAGUUGUCUUCGUUGUACUCUUCAUAACACUCCUGUGGCCACCUCCUGCUCGGCUUGUGGUGGACCGCGUAAAUUGUCCUUGCCCAAAAUACCACCGGAGGCGUUGGUAGUUCCAGAAAUUCUUCCACCCCCUGCUGCUUUUCAAGGAGCCGAUGAACAAGCAACAGCUCCUCUCCGUGAGCCAGACUCUCCCAGACCCUUACCGGCGCUGCCACUCUCACCGGGACCACACAAUAUUCCCGUUCCAAGAAGCCGAAGAGAGGUGGUGCCAGACAACCCGCUUUCUCCUCCUCCUUCCGCCCCAAGUCGUCUUCCUAAACGCUUGAGUGUCUUGGAAGAAGAGGUAACGGCAGCUGAAACUACGCCAUCCUCUGUUGAGCCACAGACUCCGGACACCAGUUGGUCAUGCGGAAAAUGCACUUUGCGUAACCUCGGUAGUGCCAGUAGGUGUUUUGUCUGCGGAGCAGUGCGGGCAGGCGAAAGUGAGAGUUUUACACCCGCAACGGAGAGCUUGCCAUCCCCAUCCGGCGCAGUAGUGCUCCCCACGCCGGUUCCCCGAAGGACAGAGUGGGCCUGCCCGGCAUGCACCCUCAUAAAUGACACUCACUGCCCACACUGCAUUGCAUGUCACACACCGCAGGGCUACAUGGCCGAGCGGCGUAAUGUGGGGGCGCGGAUGCUGCGUCGCCGGGAGAGCAUGAGGGCUGAAACCAGAAGGCAGACAGAUGAAGGCGAGGCCAAAGAGCUUUGGGAGAACAUUGUCAGCUUUUGCCGAGAGAACAGAGUGAAUUUUGUGGAUGACAGCUUUCCUCCGGGGCCUCAUUCUGUCGGCUUUCCAGAGUCCAACAGCAUCCAACAGAGGGUGAAACAAUGGCUGCGACCGCAUGAGAUAAACUGCAGUAUCUUCAAAGAACGCGGGGUGAAAUGGUCCGUCUUUCGCACGCCGCGACCUUCCGACAUACUGCAAGGGCUGCUGGGAAACUGCUGGUUUCUCAGUGCGCUGGCAGUGCUGGCAGAAAGACCCGAACUGGUGGAGAGGGUAAUGAUCACAAGGACCAUAUGCACAGAAGGAGCUUAUCAGGUGCGACUAUGCAAGGAUGGAACCUGGACCACCGUCCUGGUGGAUGACAUGUUGCCGUGCGAUGAAGCUGGCUAUCUGCUUUUUUCUCAGGCCCAAAGGAAGCAGCUCUGGGUGGCGCUGAUCGAAAAGGCUCUGGCAAAGCUUCAUGGCUCCUACUUUGCUCUCCAGGCAGGUCGCGCUAUCGAGGGCCUGGCCACUCUGACCGGAGCACCCUGCGAAAGCCUCAUGCUUCAUGUCAGCUCCACUAACCCCCGAGAGGAGACGGUAGACACGGAUCUCAUCUGGGCCAAAAUGCUGAGCUCUAAGGAAGCCGGGUUUCUAAUGGGAGCGUCCUGUGGAGGUGGGAACAUGAAGGUGGACGAUGCGGCUUAUGAAAGUGUUGGACUGAGACCCCGACAUGCCUACUCCAUACUGGAUGUUCGAGACGUCAAUACCCACCGCCUCCUCCAUCUCCGUAACCCCUGGGGUCGCUUCUCUUGGAAUGGAAGCUGGUCAGACGAUUGGCCCUUUUGGCCGGCAACACUCAAACAUGAACUAAUGCCCCAUGGCAGCAGCGAAGGCGUCUUCUGGAUGGAAUACAGUGACUUUAUCCGGUACUUUGACUCUGUUGAUAUCUGCAAGAUCCACACUGACUGGCAUGAAGUUAGAGUCCAGGGCACGUUCCCGAACAAGGCUUCAAACCCCGUGACCGUAACGUCCCUUACAGUGGUGGAGCGCACGGCCCUGGAAUUCUCUCUUUUCCAGGAGGGCAGCAGGCGGUCAGACACUGUGGACAGUCACCUCCUGGACCUCUGCAUCAUGGUUUUCCGGGCAUCUCAUGGCGGUACGGGGAAAGUGAUGUUGGGUCGGCUAAUGGCGCACAGCAAGAGGGCGGUGAAGAAAUUUGUCGGAUGCGAUGUCAUGCUGGAACCUGGAGAAUACGCUGUGGUGUGUUGUGCCUUCAACCACUGGCAAACCUUAAAUCUGGGUGGAUCAUCUACAGUUCAAGCAUCCAGUCCCACAGGCAGCGGUAAUAAUAGCCGCUCUGCUGCGGACCCCAUGGGGUACACCUUGGCCAUUUAUAGUUCCCGACUUGUCAUGGUCGAGCAAGUGGAAGCACAACCAACAACGCUUGCAGAUGCCAUUAUCCUGCUGACAGAAGACAAGGGGGAGCGGCACGAGGGUCGGGAGGGGAUGACCUGCUAUUAUCUGACACACGGAUGGGCGGGGCUUAUUGUGGUCGUAGAAAAUCGCCAUCCCAAGACUUUUCUGCACAUCCAGUGCGACUGCACAGACAGCUUCAAUGUCGUGUCCACUCGAGGCAGCCUCAAAACCAGCGACAGCGUCCCCCCUCUUCACAGGCAGGUGCUGGUCAUUUUGUCUCAGUUGGAGGGAAAUGCUGGAUUUUCUGUUACUCAUCGCCUGGCACACCGGAAAGCCCACCAAGCUUCUCGGAAUGACUGGAUGUCCAGCAAAGGCGCCCACAGCCCUCCGUUGUCUCCAGAGGUGUCGGGCUUGCAUGGUCCCCGACCCCUUUGACAUAUCCAAAAGAAGAGAUCCCCUGGGGGGGAGGCCUGAUUGCCUAAGUUCAGUGGGAGCACUUUAAAGACUUAUUCCCGGAAAACUACACUUGAAUCUUACUCAGGACUCUUAUCCUGUGUAAACAGGGACCCUAUCCCAUCUUUGACUCCUGCCCCGGUACCCCUUCCUCAUUUUUGUAUCUUUUUUUUUGUUUUUUUCGUUUUAACGUACCACACUGUUAACAUGAAAUUUGGGAUCGAACUGACCCCAUGUUCUUACUCCUGAGAAUUAGAACGCUCUACCCUUCGUUCGUCCCGUUUCCCUUCACGAUUGCUUCUUCUUUUAAGAUGUGUGUUUUAACCAUUCUCGGAUCUCUACAACCAGGAUGCUAUGGCUGCUAGUUCCCUUUUUCGUAACCUUAAAGGACAUCCCAUUCAUUCUUGCAAUAUGCAUGGGCUCAAGCUUUAACGAAAUCCAGCGGAGCAGCAAAAAAAAAAAAAAAAGACUGCUGCAUCCGUUUCUGUACUCGAAACGCGUAGUGUAACAAUCUGCCGCAUACCUUUUUAUUUGCAUCCUACAGCCUUACCGAGUCUUAACGAUCACAUGGAGCUUAAUAUCAUACGCCAGGAGGAGGGCGAUAUUACCCACCGUCAUGCAAUAAAUCACAAAUCUCAUAUUUUUCUAUAGUCCAGUGAGGAAAAAGCAGCCAUUUUUUGCCAGAGAAUACAGAAAUCUUGCACGUUUGCAAAACAGGGGGUCAGAAAACUUCAACUUAAAGGGGCCUAAUGUCAAAACUGUCUAGGGAAAAUGGUCUUGUUGCCCCUAGCAACCAAUCAGAAUCUGGCUUCCAUCUUCCUAGAGAAGUUUAGAAAAUGAAAGCUUCAAUCUGAUUGGUUGCUAUGGCCUACUGGGCUGGCACAGUACAUAGGGCCCGGAGCGUCGUCCUGUAGCACAACAUAAAGGUCAGAGGACCCAGUAGUCGACGCCUCGUCUCCAUUUUCCCACCAGGCCUUUCUUCUCCCCCGUAGACUUCCCCUCCGUCCACCCCAUCAGCUGUAUUUUAGGGUCCCUGGUCUCCGUCUGCCACAAAUGGGAAAUAUUUGAAUCUUGUAUAUAUUGUUCAGCUGUAAUAAAACAGAAUGCUAUUUUAUCAACUUAUACACUCAGAUUGUAUAGAUAGAAACACAUUGGGUGGCCUACGCUCCCAUCUCAGGUUCUUUCGGACCAAAUAAAGAUUUUGUUUUUUAAAAAAAAA